UUAAGUGACGAAGCGUACACGGUGGAUGCCCUGGCAGUCAGAGGCGAUGAAGGGCGUGCUAAUCUGCGAUAAGCGUCGGUAAGGUGAUAUGAACCGUUAUACCCGACGAUACCCGAAUGGGGAAACCCGGUGCAAUCCGUUGCAUCAUCGCAACAUGAAUACAUAGUGUUGCGAGGCGAACCGGGGGAACUGAAACAUCUAAGUACCCCGAGGAAAAGAAAUCAACCGAGAUUCCCCCAGUAGCGGCGAGCGAACGGGGAGGAGCCCGGAACCAUCAUCAGCGGUUGCGUCAGUGGAAGCGUCUGGAAAGUCGCACGAUACAGGGUGAAAGUCCCGUACACGAAGAUGCAGCCGUUGUGAGUUCGAAGAGUAGGGCGGGACACGUGGUAUCCUGUCUGAAUAUGGGGGGACCAUCCUCCAAGGCUAAAUACUCCUGACUGACCGAUAGUGAACCAGUACCGUGAGGGAAAGGCGAAAAGAACCCCGGCGAGGGGAGUGAAACAGAACCUGAAACCGUGUACGUACAAGCAGUGGGAGCCUCAUUUAUGGGGUGACUGCGUACCUUUUGUAUAAUGGGUCAGCGACUUGUAUUCUGUAGCAAGGUUAACCGUAUAGGGGAGCCGAAGGGAAACCGAGUCUUAACCGGGCGUUAAGUUGCAGGGUACAGACCCGAAACCCGGUGAUCUAGCCAUGGGCAGGUUGAAGGUUGGGUAACACUAACUGGAGGACCGAACCGACUGAUGUUGAAAAAUCAGCGGAUGACCUGUGGCUGGGGGUGAAAGGCCAAUCAAACCGGGAGAUAGCUGGUUCUCCCCGAAAGCUAUUUAGGUAGCGCCUCGUGAAUUCAUCUCCGGGGGUAGAGCACUGUUUCGGCUAGGGGGCCAUCCCGGCUUACCAACCCGAUGCAAACUGCGAAUACCGGAGAAUGUUAUCACGGGAGACACACGGCGGGUGCUAACGUCCGUCGUGAAGAGGGAAACAACCCAGACCGCCAGCUAAGGUCCCAAAGUCAUGGUUAAGUGGGAAACGAUGUGGGAAGGCCCAGACAGCCAGGAUGUUGGCUUAGAAGCAGCCAUCAUUUAAAGAAAGCGUAAUAGCUCACUGGUCGAGUCGGCCUGCGCGGAAGAUGUAACGGGGCUAAACCAUGCACCGAAGCUGCGGCAGCGGACGUAUCACUUAAGGCGCUUAACGUGACGGCGAAGCCGGCACGUUCAAGCCACAACAACGUUGAGUCGGUCUGCGAACUGACAACAACGAAGCGUCUUAAGGAUACGUCCGUUGGGUAGGGGAGCGUUCUGUAAGCCGUUGAAGGUGGACUGUGAGGUCUGCUGGAGGUAUCAGAAGUGCGAAUGCUGACAUAAGUAACGAUAAAGCGGGUGAAAAGCCCGCUCGCCGGAAGACCAAGGGUUCCUGUCCAACGUUAAUCGGGGCAGGGUGAGUCGACCCCUAAGGCGAGGCCGAAAGGCGUAGUCGAUGGGAAACAGGUUAAUAUUCCUGUACUCGGUGUUACUGCGAAGGGGGGACGGAGAAGGCUAUGUUGGCCGGGCGACGGUAGUCCCGGUUUAAGCGUGUAGGUGUGUGUUCCAGGCAAAUCCGGUUCACUUUACACUGAGGCGUGAUGACGAGGCACCACGGUGCUGAAGCAACAAAUGCCCUGCUUCCAGGAAAAGCCUCUAAGCAUCAGGUAACACAGAAUCGUACCCCAAACCGACACAGGUGGUCAGGUAGAGAAUACCAAGGCGCUUGAGAGAACCCGGGUGAAGGAACUAGGCAAAAUGGUGCCGUAACUUCGGGAGAAGGCACGCUGGUGUGUAGGUGAAGUCACUUGCUGACGGAGCUGAAGCCAGUCGAAGAUACCAGCUGGCUGCAACUGUUUAUUAAAAACACAGCACUGUGCAAACACGAAAGUGGACGUAUACGGUGUGACGCCUGCCCGGUGCCGGAAGGUUAAUUGAUGAGGUUAUCCGUAAGGAGAAGCUUUUGAUCGAAGCCCCGGUAAACGGCGGCCGUAACUAUAACGGUCCUAAGGUAGCGAAAUUCCUUGUCGGGUAAGUUCCGACCUGCACGAAUGGCGUAAUGAUGGCCAGGCUGUCUCCACCCGGGACUCAGUGAAAUUGAACUCGCUGUGAAGAUGCAGUGUACCCGCGGCAAGACGGAAAGACCCCGUGAACCUUUACUACAGCUUGACACUGAACACUGAGCCUUGAUGUGCAGGAUAGGUGGGAGGCUUUGAAGCGUGGACGCCAGUCUGCGCGGAGCCAUCCUUGAAAUACCACCCUUUAAUGUUUGGUGUUCUAACCUUGCGCCGUGAUCCGGCGCGGGGACAGUGUCUGGUGGGUAGUUUGACUGGGGCGGUCUCCUCCCAAAGCGUAACGGAGGAGCACGAAGAUUGGCUAAUCACGGUCGGACAUCGUGAGGUUAGUGCAAAGGCAUAAGCCAGUUUGACUGCGAGAGUGACGGCUCGAGCAGGUGCGAAAGCAGGUCUUAGUGAUCCGGUGGUUCUGAAUGGAAGGGCCAUCGCUCAACGGAUAAAAGGUACUCCGGGGAUAACAGGCUGAUACCGCCCAAGAGUUCAUAUCGACGGCGGUGUUUGGCACCUCGAUGUCGGCUCAUCACAUCCUGGGGCUGUAGCAGGUCCCAAGGGUACGGCUGUUCGCCGUUUAAAGUGGUACGCGAGCUGGGUUUAGAACGUCGUGAGACAGUUCGGUCCCUAUCUGCCGUGGGCGCUGGAGAAUUGAGAGGGUUUGCUCCCAGUACGAGAGGACCGGAGUGAACGCACCACUGGUGUACGGGUUGUCAUGCCAAUGGCACUGCCCGGUAGCUAAGUGCGGAACGGAUAAGCGCUGAAAGCAUCUAAGCGCGAAACCAGCCUCGAGAUGAGUUCUCCCUGAGUCCUGGCGACUCCUGAAGGGACGUUGAAGACGACGACGUUGAUAGGCCGGAUGUGUAAGCGCAGCGAUGCGUUGAGCUGACCGGUACUAAUGACCCGAGAGGCUUAACCUU
rnacentral:rRNA from 1 species